UCUUGCUGAAAUGAAAUCUUGACCAUUUAAACUCCAUAUUUUAACUGCUAACAUAGCAGUUCACGGCAGUUUCCUAGCCUCCGCCUUUUCCUACCCAUGUUUUCCACGAAUCACGUUUCCCCCAAAAUUGGAUCGUGGGUUCAAUGCAGUUGCGGAUGGGUAGAAAGCAGUUGCCGAGCAGCCUUAUAUAAUGUAAACCCUUGAAUCAAAAAGGUCAUACCUUCAAUCGUUUGAUUUAUGGGUUAAUAUUGAUUUGAAGUCUUGAAGGUAAUAUGUCUAUUAUCCUAUUUAUUGCUCACUUGAUUGAUUCCCCCGAACAAACUUCUGAAAUCUGGUGAGUUGCUUCUAAUUGAAUCCUUCAAUAAUAUCUUCUAAAAUCCAUUGUGUUAAUUACUUGAUGGAAGUGUUGAAGGUAAUUUUUCUGUCAUAAAUAAUUUCUGCCCUAAAUCGAUUUGCCCUAAUUAUGCUCUGGUCUAUUCUGUUAGUUUGUUCAAUAAACAUUGAUAGAUGUCAAGUAUGUUGAAAGUUUAAAUUUAUAAGUGUUUUUUUUUCAGUGCUAAUUUUGUUGUUCAGUGUGUACUGACUGUAGUUGGUUUUUUGGUUAAGAUGAUGAAGAAGAAUCCUUAGGCACGAAAAGAACAUGCGGCCACAGUGGGAGGUGUUUUGUAAGCAUUAAGUAUUCAUACAAAGAUGGUGAAUCUGAAAAUUUUGAUUGUUGUAGGCCUGUAGUGAUGUUUCUAAUAAUAAUCUUUGUGGUAAGAUACCCUUUGAUGGCCCUUUCACAAGCUUCCCAAUCGACGGAAUUCAAACUUAAGGGUUAUAAAGACAAACUUCAAAAGUUGAGUGGGAUGGCAUGUUAAGUGGGUUCAAGCAAUUCGAAAAGGUGAAUCUUCUGGUCUUGAAAUCGCAGGUUGAAAUCCAUUUGUCAAAAUCAAAUUUGACUAUUUGAAGCAUAUCCAAAGUAAUUGAGAAUGAGUAUGGAUAUAUAUUGAAUUUCUGAUACAGAGUAUUGGACAUGUGUUAUUUAUGUUUAAUUAUCAUACAAGUUCUUUAUUGAUUAUUUAACCUAACUCAUUUAUGUGCUUUGGGCUGAAUUAUUUGUGAGAGCUUCCUUUAUUUGGAAUCCCUUGCUUACACACUGGUGUUUCUUUCUCAUGGUCGGUUGCCAUGGCACAGAUUCAGGGUUCAGCAGCUACAGAUGCAAGCUGUGAAUCUGUGAUCACCACUCCACAGCAGUCUCUAAGAGAUGCAAAUAACCCGGCUGGACUCCUCUCGAUUGCAGAAGAGACCUUGGCAGAGUUCCUUUCAAAGGCCACAGGAACUGCUGUCGAUUGGGUCCAGAUGCCUGGGAUGAAGGUGUCACUAGAGAGAUGGUUGUAUGAAGUUGCAGUUGAAAGGUGUUGGUGGAAAGCAAAAUCCCUAUUGAAAUCCAUAAAAAUGCACAGCCACAGUGCUAUCACUAAGGAGAAAGAUAUGCCUUGGUGUUAGCUUCCAACACCAGGAUUUAUUCAGGAGAUAAUUUUUAAAGAUGGAUUCUACAAAUCAUGGGAGUCUAUCAGAUCAUAUCAUGAGUUACGAUGGUGAUUCUUCAAGGGAAAUGGUUGAAUCUGCAUUUGAGUCUGCAAGAAUUUGUAGCAUAUCAGACUACCACAAUUUUGAAUUUUUCUGUGAAAGUAAGCAAUCCCGUAAUGAUGGUUCAAGCAUAUCAUCUUCUUGUGGCUAAAAUGUAUGUUUAGUAUAGGGAUUGUGCCAAUAUAUAUAUAUAUAUAUUAAGCCCACGCAGCCUAACCGUCAUUGAUAUCAAUCUCCACCGUUAGAUAUUGCUGGAACUAAAUCCUGACCGUUUAAACUCCACUUUUUAACUGCUGUUGUGGCAGUUGUGGGCGGUUUAUUUCUCAUCGUCGGUUAACCCACUCUCCUUUUUCUCAUCCUAAAUCCUUGCUACCAAAACCGCACCUCCCGUAGGUUAUUUAAUGUGUGGAUCAAGCAAGCAUGACUUCAGUUGCAAAAGUAUUGAAGGUACAAUGCAUGCUGGCUUCCUUUGAUUGCUAAGCAUUCGAAAUCCCGGAUCUUUGAAAGAGCUAUAGUUGUUCCUCUGGAUGAAUACCCAAAAGAGGAUCCACAAGGUGGUGAGGGUGAGUCUACUGAAUCAAUUUUAAAUGUUUCUGUUUAUUUGAAGUUCAGUUUCAUAUUAUCUUUUGAAUUUAAGAUAGUAGACUGUAGGUUUUGUGAAGUUAUCUUGAGCAUAUAUUCACAUAAUCGCAUUAGUGUAGUAUAAGAAACAACUAUCAUAGUAAUUUAUAAUAAUUAUAUGUUGGCAUAUUGCUUGUGGCUUAGAAUAUUCUUCGUAAAUAUAUGAUUUAAUACAAAUGCAUGCUCUUAAAAACCCACCAUGCAUAUUAUAAUGUCGUGUUACUUGGUUUUCUCUUCAAUUGUGGUUGUGGGUAAUACUAAAUUAAGAAAAAAAAAUGAGUAGAGAAGAACCUCAUAGUGAUUAGGACAAAGGGCUUCUCUCUAAUUUAGGACAUGCAGCUGCUGUAUAGGCACACAACCAUCAACAACAUUUGCGCAGGUUGGAUAAUGGGUUGCAAUGGAUUCGUGUCAAAUUGGGUGAUCUUUUACCGGUCAAAACAGGUUGGGUCAUGUUAGGUCGGUCGUUGCCGAACUGUUAACACCUUUUGUCCAUUCGAACAUAGAGUUUCGAGGCAAGGAGCGAAAGGCGUUCGACAAGAUCGACUUUUUUGAAAUUUAUUUAACGCUCUAGGUUUUUUUGUAAU